CCUACGGGUGGCAGCAGUAGGGAAUAUUGCUCAAUGGGGGAAACCCUGAAGCAGCAACGCCGCGUGGAGGAUGAAGGUUUUCGGAUUGUAAACUCCUUUUGUUAGAGAAGAUAAUGACGGUAUGUAACGAAUAAGCACCGUCUAACUCCGUGCCAGCAGCGGCGGUAAUACGGAGGGUGCAAGCGUUACUCGGAAUCAAUGGGCGUAAAGAGGGCGUAGGCGGGAUAGCAAGUCAGAUGUGAAAUCCUAUGGCUUAACCAUAGAACUGCAUUUGAAACUGUUAUUCUAGAGUAUGGGAGAGGUAGGUGGAAUUCUUGGUGUAGGGGUAAAAUACGUAGAGAUCAAGAGGAAUACUCAUUGCGAAGGCGACCUGCUAGAACAUAACUGACGCUGAUGCGCGAAAGCGUGGGGAGCAAACAGGAUUAGAUACCCCAGUAGUC
rnacentral:rRNA from 1 species